rnacentral:tRNA from 1 species
GACGGAAAAUUUCAUUUACAAUGAAAAUGACCUACAAGGCGUCCUUAUAACUAGGGUAAAAAUUAAUAG